GGUCAGGGAUGGGAAUUGAACCCACAGUGUUCCGUUUACCGGGCAGAUGCCAUGUCCACUAGGCUAUCCCGGGC
rnacentral:tRNA from 1 species